UACGUAGGGUGCAAGCGUUUGUCCGGAAUUAUUGGGCGUAAAGAGCUCGUAGGCGGUUUGUUGCGUCGGCUGUGAAAUCCCGAGGCUCAACCUCGGGUCUGCAGUCGAUACGAGCAAACUAGAGUGUUGCAGGGGAGACUGGAAUCCUGGUGUAGCGGUGAAAUGCGCAGAUAUCAGGAGGAACACCGGUGGCGAAGGCGGGUCUCUGGGCAACA
rnacentral:rRNA from 1 species